AUUGAACGCUGGCGGCAUGCUUUACACAUGCAAGUCGGACGGCAGCACAGAGAAGCUUGCUUCUUGGGUGGCGAGUGGCGAACGGGUGAGUAACGCAUCGGAACGUACCGAGUAAUGGGGGAUAACUGUCCGAAAGGACAGCUAAUACCGCAUACGCCCUGAGGGGGAAAGCGGGGGAUCUUAGGACCUCGCGUUAUUCGAGCGGCCGAUGUCUGAUUAGCCGGUUGGCGGGGUAAAGGCCCACCAAGGCGACGAUCAGUAGCGGGUCUGAGAGGAUGAUCCGCCACACUGGGACUGAGACACGGCCCAGACUCCUACGGGAGGCAGCAGUGGGAAUUUUGGACAAUGGGCGCAAGCCUGAUCCAGCCAUGCCGCGUGUCUGAAGAAGGCCUUCGGGUUGUAAAGGACUUUUGUCAGGGAAGAAAAGGGGCAUGUUAAUACCGUGCUC
rnacentral:rRNA from 1 species